UUGGAGGGCAAGUCUGGUGCCAGCAGCCGCGGUAAUUCCAGCUCCAAUAGCGUAUAUUAAAGUUGUUGCAGUUAAAAAGCUCGUAGUUGAACUUCGGGAUCAAGGAAUCGGUCAUGCCUUGGUAUGCACUGGUUUUAUUGGUUCUCACCUUCUAAAGAACCAUAAUGUCAUUCAUUUGAUGUUAUGGGGAAUUAGGACUGUUACCUUGAAAAAAUUAGAGUGUUUAAAGCAAGCUUACGCUUGAAUACAUUAGCAUGGAAUAAUGAAAUAGGACAUCCGAUUCUAUUUUGUUGGUCUCUAGGAUCGAUGUAAUGAUUAAUAGGGAUAGUUGGGGGCAUUAGUAUUCAAUUGUCAGAGGUGAAAUUCUUGGAUUUAUUGAAGACUAACUACUGCGAAAGCAUUUGCCAAGGAUGUUUUCAUUAAUCAAGAACGAAAGUUAGGGGGUCGAAGACGAUCAGAUACCGUCGUAGUCUUAACCAUAAACUAUGCCGACUAGGGAUCGGAUGAUGUUUAUCUUUUAGUGACUCAUUCGGCACCUUACGGGAAACCAAAGUGUUUGGGUUC
rnacentral:rRNA from 1 species